rnacentral:rRNA from 1 species
GUGGGGAAUCUUGCGCAAUGGGCGAAAGCCUGACGCAGCGACGCCGCGUGAGUGAUGAAGGCCUUCGGGUUGUAAAGCUCUGUGGAGAGGGACGAAUUAGCCAUGGCUAACAUCCAUGGUGAUGACGGUACCUCUUUAGCAAGCACCGGCUAACUCUGUGCCAGCAGCCGCGGUAAGACAGAGGGUGCAAACGUUGUUCGGAAUUACUGGGCGUAAAGCGCGUGUAGGCUGCUCUGCAAGUCGGGUGUGAAAGCCCUGGGCUCAACCUAGGAAGAGCACUCGAAACUGCAGAGCUUGAGUCCUGGAGAGGAUAGCGGAAUUCUCGGUGUAGAGGUGAAAUUCGUAGAUAUCGAGAGGAACACCGGUGGCGAAGGCGGCUAUCUGGACAGUGACUGACGCUGAGACGCGAAAGCGUGGGGAGCAAACAGGAUUAGAUACCCUAGUAGUCC